rnacentral:rRNA from 1 species
CCCCUAGAUGUUCUGGGCCGCACGCGCGCUACACUGAACAGUUCAACAAGUCUUAACCUUGGCCGAUAGGUCUGGGUAAUCUUUGAACGCUGUUCGUGAUUGGGAUAGACCUUUGCAAUUAUGGGUCUUCAACGAGGAAUUCCUAGUAAACGCAAGUCAUCAGCUUGCAUUGAUUACGUCCCUGCCCUUUGUACACACCGCCCGUCGCACCUACCGAUUGAAUGGUCCGGUGAAAUCUCGGGACGGCGGCUUGGUCGCUUGCGUCCGACUGCUGAAACUUGAUUAAACCAUAUCAUUUAGAGGAAGGUGAANUAGUAACA